UUCCGAUUCUUAGGAAACUCCACACUUAUUUCCGGAAACGCCAGUUCCCCUUCGAUUCCACUGGUUCGCGAUGCACCGCUAAAUCACGCACACGCGAUUCAUUCGAAUCCGAAACCGUUUGAAACCGUUCCGUCCAGUCGCGAGCCGCGUUCCUUCGUUUCCGAGCGUGCGAAAAUCGAAAUCAACUCGACAGCUUGUUCGCGAUAAUCGAAAAAAUCAAUUGCUCGUUUUUGAACAACAGUCGCUGCUCGGUUCGAUCGAUCGUCGAAUCGACUCGCGGGAAUUCACGCGGGAACGAACACCGUGUUAGGUUAACUCGUCAUUGUUUCGCUGAAAAAGAGACGCGAACGCAAAGGGAAUUUUCCAACGAUCUCGACUCGAGCGUCGAUUAAAGCAAACUGAGAAUAUGCAGACUGUCGCGGGUAAUGCGAACCAGGCCAACUAUGCAACCAACUAGCUACCUGGCCAUUCGCUAUUCCCGCGCAAAAAAUCUCGACACGCAUAACAGAUAGUAUAGUUGAAUAGCGAUCGUACACGGGGCUUUGCUGCCGGAAAGGACGAUUACGUUGCAGUUCAAUCAUCGAUAAGAUUUCUGAAAUCAGUUCAGCUUCGUUAGGGGAUGGCUCGUAAGAAUUUCUUCGAUUCCCCCAUGUUUCUUGAAAAAUCAACCAAGUACUUUAUCGUAAACUCAUCGAGGUGCAAACUCUUACGCAGACUCGCUUACAACAAGAUGAUCUAGCUUUCUACACACGGGGGACAAACGAAAAUAGUACGAGGACAGAGACGGAACAGGAGAAGGAGAAGGAGGGGGAGGAGGAGGAGAGAGAAACAGUAGAAGAAACAAGGACAAGCAGACCCUGGAGCCGCUCCAGCUUGAUCGCCGCCAGCACGUCCCAAUCGGUGACGUUCAGAGCCGCGAUGCAAGACUCCGGUGUCGACUGUUCGUGCAACACUUUCAUCAUGAUCCUGACCUCGUCCGACUGUUCCCCGUUACGCGGACCGCGCGUCCUUCGCGCGUUCGGCCCGUCGCAGGCAAACUCCAAGAGGUCCUCGCAGCUGACGUGGUCCGACUGACGCGACAAGUCGCUGGUACGGCCCGACAAUUUUUCGCUGGACAGCCUGCUGUACGGUUUCGGUGUGGGAUGGAAGCUAUCGGUUGACUCGACCGCGGAAGACUCUUUCGGCUGGACGACUUCGGACUGCUGUUUACUCUUCUGCGAACUGCUCUCGGAGUACUCGCCGUAAUCAAAGUGCAUCGUAUAGUUGGAAGGCCUCUGGAUCAAGUUGCUCCUGAUGGCUUGAAGUUUGCUGGAACCGGCCGACUCCUCGGACUGGUUGGACCCCGUCGGAGUCGAGUUCCUGCUGGUUUCGCCAGCCUCGUUCUCCUGCGCGCACUUGGAAGUCGAACUUUGCAUCGAACUUUUCGACUCGACGCUGGUCUUUCUGUGAAGACGUUCGCUCGACGAACCGGUCGACUGCACGUCGCCUUCUUGAGCGUUCUGUCGGUAUUCCAGGCCGUCGCAGUCUAUCAGGUUGUCGGAAAAUUCGAGCAAGUCCUCGGAGAUGACGCUGAAACGGUGGAGUCGGUUCUCAUCGGUCGGAAGGGAGUCCAACGCGGCCAGUUCCGAGUCUAUGCGUUGCUCGAACUCCUCGGGACUGCGCGAAACGAGUUGGGAACACGUUAGAUCGAUUAGAUUAAGAGUGCAGAGUCUCGAAGCUGCCGCGUAGCUCGCGCGUUUCUCACCUGUUGGCUGAAGUCUCGGACGAGUAUCCCUCCUGCAGGGACGCGUUCGUCGUCGACGAGCCGGCAUUCUGCAGACUCCCGUCGACCUGAUCUUCGAGGGGCGGCGUGGUAACCGCCAUUUUCGCCAGGGUUCUGGUCACGCCGCCGCCAGGAAUGAUCAGGGGAUGCUUCCGCUGGUGCCUGGGUAGACUGGACUUGGGCUGCAGGGUUUUCGACCUGUCCCUGGGCGGCAAUGGUAUCGGGUUCUCGUCCACGUUGUUCUGAUUCUGAUUGUUCUCGAUCUCCAAGGCGGAAUGGUGUCUCUCCAGGUGACGCGUCUGCGGCAGCGGCGGCGGCGCGUGCGGAAGAGGCGGCGCUCGGAUCUUGGGCAGCGUCUUCGAGCCGCUGUGGUACGCGUCGAAGUGGAACGUGUCCCUGGACAGGUCUUCCUGGUGGGAGCCAGUGUGGGCUAGAGUGGCGUGCUUGUUCCCGCGAACUCUCGGCCUGACUAUGGGCACGCCGGAACGCAGCAUGCGCAACGGAUUCGUGUCCGGAGCGGUGUCUAUGCUCGGCGUUUCCACCAGACUGUUGUACACUUCCUUUGCCUCGUCCGACAACGUAGCCUAAACAAGUCGUGGGAGGGGAUAGAUUCGGGAAAGAAGAGAACAGAAAUUAAAAAAGAAACCAACAAACGAGGAGAGAGAGAGUGAGAGAGUGAGAGAGAAACAGAGAGAGAGAGAGAAAGAGAGAGAAAGACUAUCGCAUGAAAAAAUAAACAUCCGUGUGUACGGGUCUCUCUAACAGGAAGGGGACCGCAAACGAGUGGAGACAAUGCUUGAACACACUCUCUCGGUACUCUGGUGCAACUCUAUGGAAGGGACGUGAGACGCGGUAGGCUGGCUUCGAAACGAUCUUGGAGGCGAGAUAUAGGCUACUCCGAAUCAAUCGAUACAAGUGUACGCACGCAAACAGGAUAUAGAGUUUGUAAACACUCGGUUGAACAGAAAAUCGAAAUAUAAUCAGCGCGUAGGUCCGAUUACACACACUCCAGGGUUUUCAUUCCAACGUCCUCCAAGUACAAAUGGUAUAAACGUGUAAAUGCAUCCAAACAUAUUACCCUCUAGAUGUCGUUUAGUAAUUAAUGUAACAUGCAAGCAUGCUAAGCGUAUGUAAGGAGAACUGUCUCUGAACAGUUCCUUGAUUUAAGUACACUGAGUAUUGUCCAGAGCUGGGUAUCGUUUCCUAUUAUCGUUAUAGUUGUGACCCAAGCGAUUUUCGGAAUCCUACCGUUCAUCGUCACACAGUCAUCCGUCACUGUUGAGCAAUAUUCGUACGAGUUGCCAUUUUUCCGAUCCUAGUAUUAUACAGCUGCAGCUGUUCGAUCAUUGUUACGCUAAUAACCGUGGCAAUCGCUACUCUGUGUAGCAUAAGAAAAUCUCCGAUCAUUUCGUAUUAGGAAGGACACUAUGUGACGUGAAAAGACGUUCACCUCCUUUUUCUUCUCUUUCCUUUCUUUUCUUUCUUUUCUCGGAGAAACGAAUCUUUGAAGAAUCACUCGACUGUUACGAAAAUUACUCGGGAGAACCGCAAGAAAGAAAGAAACGGAACAUUCUGAAUUUGUUUUUCUCGUGAAUUCCACCCUCGUGGAAAACGUGGAAAGAGCUCACCGAGUACUGCCCAACUCUGGCGUUAUCCAAUUAGAUUUCUGCCAAGAACGUGAUUAGAAAA